rnacentral:rRNA from 1 species
GGAAAAGAAACCACCAGGGAUUGCCCCAGUAACGGCGAGUGAAGCGGCAACAGCUCAGAUUUGAAAUCUGGUCCCCUGGGGGCCCGAGUUGUAAUCUGUAGAGGAUGCUUUUGGCGACGCGCCUUCCGAGUCCCCUGGAACGGGGCGCCAGAGAGGGUGAGAGCCCCGUAUGGUUGGACGCCGAACCUCUGUAAAGCUCCUUCGACGAGUCGAGUAGUUUGGGAAUGCUGCUCAAAAUGGGAGGUAAAUUUCUUCUAAAGCUAAAUACCGGCCAGAGACCGAUAGCGCACAAGUAGAGUGAUCGAAAGAUGAAAAGCACUUUGAAAAGAGGGUUAAAUAGCACGUGAAAUUGCUGAAAGGGAAGCGCUUGUGACCAGACUUGCGCCCGGUUGAUCAUCCAGCGUUCUCGCUGGUGCACUCUGCCGGGCUCAGGCCAGCAUCGGCUCUCCCAGGGGGAUAAAGGUCGCGGGAACGUAGCUCUCUCCGGGGAGUGUUAUAGCCCGUGGCGGAAUGCCCUUAGGGGGGGCCGAGGCCCGCGUUCGCAAGGAUGCUGGCGUAAUGGUCACCAGCGACCCGUCUUGAAACACGGACCAAGGAGUCAAGCAUUAGGGCGAGUCUUUGGGUGUAAAACCCGCAGGCGCAAUGAAAGUGAACGGAGGUGAGAGCUUCGGCGCAUCAUCGACCGAUCCUGAUGUUCUCGGAUGGAUUUGAGUAAGAGCCUUACCGCUUGGACCCGAAAGAUGGUGAACUAUGCCUGAAUAGGGUGAAGCCAGAGGAAACUCUGGUGGAGGCUCGCAGCGGUUCUGACGUGCAAAUCGAUCGUCAAAUUUGGGCAUGGGGGCGAAAGACUAAUCGA